UGGGGAAUAUUGGACAAUGGGCGCAAGCCUGAUCCAGCCAUGCCGCGUGUGUGAAGAAGGCCUUCGGGUUGUAAAGCACUUUUGUCCGGAAAGAAAGCGAAUCGACGAAUACCCGGUUUGGAUGACGGUACCGGAAGAAUAAGCACCGGCUAACUUCGUGCCAGCAGCCGCGGUAAUACGAAGGGUGCAAGCGUUACUCGGAAUUACUGGGCGUAAAGCGUGCGUAGGCGGUCUGUUAAGUCUGCUGUGAAAUCCCCGGGCUCAACCUGGGAAUGGCAGCGGAAACUGGCGGGCUAGAGUACGGUAGAGGAUGGUGGAAUUCCCGGUGUAGCGGUUAAAUGCGUAGAGAUCGGGAGGAACACCAGUGGCGAAGGCGGCCAUCUGGACCAGUACUGACGCUGAGGCACGAAAGCGUGGGGAGCAAACA
rnacentral:rRNA from 1 species